GAUAGGAACGUCUACCGCAUGGUGGAUGUUGGAAAGAAUUUCGGUCAUGGAUGGACUCGCGGCCUAUCAGCUUGUUGGUGAGGUAAUGGCUCACCAAGGCGACGACGGGUAGCCGGCCUGAGAGGGUGACCGGCCACACUGGGACUGAGACACGGCCCAGACUCCUACGGGAGGCAGCAGUGGGGAAUAUUGCACAAUGGGCGAAAGCCUGAUGCAGCGACGCCGCGUGAGGGAUGACGGCCUUCGGGUUGUAAACCUCUUUCAGUAGGGAAGAAGCGAAAGUGACGGUACCUGCAGAAGAAGCACCGGCUAACUACGUGCCAGCAGCCGCGGUAAUACGUAGGGUGCGAGCGUUAUCCGGAAUUAUUGGGCGUAAAGAGCUCGUAGGCGGUUUGUCGCGUCUGUCGUGAAAGUCCGGGGCUUAACCCCGGAUCUGCGGUGGGUACGGGCAGACUAGAGUGCAGUAGGGGAGACUGGAAUUCCUGGUGUAGCGGUGGAAUGCGCAGAUAUCAGGAGGAACACCGAUGGCGAAGGCAGGUCUCUGGGCUGUAACUGACGCUGAGGAGCGAAAGCAUGG
rnacentral:rRNA from 1 species